rnacentral:rRNA from 1 species
UACGUAGGGGGCAAGCGUUGUCCGGAAUUACUGGGCGUAAAGGGUUUGUAGGUGGCCCGCUAAGUCACACGUGAAAUCCCUCAGCUUAACUGGGGAACUGCGUGUGAGACUGGCAGGCUCGAGGGCAGGAGAGGAACGCGGAAUUCCAGGUGUAGCGGUGAAAUGCGUAGAUAUCUGGAGGAACACCGGUGGCGAAGGCGGCGUUCUGGACUGUCUCUGACACUGAAGAACGAAAGCCAGGGGAGCAAACGGG